CGCGUCUAGGUCGUUGCCAUGGCAACCAUUGACUAUUGUAAAUGGCAACCAAAUGUAGGUUGUGAUGGACACUGUACAGUUGUGCAUAAUGUAUAUUUAAUGUGUGUUUUAAGACAUUAUAGCGAAAGAGAAGUAUAAACGUUUUUGAAAGAAUGGAGUUCGAAAGUCCAGAUGUGGAAAAAGAUUUCCCAGGUCUUUAUGCAUCAGAAUCUGGGAAAAAAAGCAACGAAAGCGAUUUGUUGGCAUCUGGAAUUCUUUCCCCUAAUGUUAGUGAUGAUGCUCAUGAUCGACCUUCUAAAAAGGACCUUCUCAUUGGGAAACGUAAGGACAAAAAGGAUUCUAAGAAAGAUAGGGGUUAUGCAACUUUGGAAGGCGAGAGUUCUCCUGAAGAAGAUCCAGAAACGAAGAGCCCUUCAAAAUCAAAAAAGUCCAAAUCAUUUAAGUUUCCAAGCAAGAAAGAGAAGAGAGAAAAAUCAAGAGAGAAAGAUGCUAAAGAAAAAGAGAAAGAAGUUGAGAAGGAAAAGAAAAAAGAAAAAGAAGGAAAAGUUAGGUUAAAACUAAAGGAACGGAAGAAAUCAAAACACAUGGACGAUUCUAUAGAAGUUGCAGAUGAGCAGCCAGUCUUUGGUGUGCCAUUAGAACUUGCCGUUGAGAGAAGCCAUUGUCAUGAUGGUGUAGAUAUUCCUGUUGUUGUACGUGACUGCAUCGACUAUGUGCAAGAGCAUGGCUUAUACAUGGAAGGUAUAUAUAAAGUAUCAGGCAUCAAGUCCAAGGUGCAACAUCUGAGGCGAUUGUACAAUCUUCGAGAAGCUGUUCAAUUGUCAGACUUUGAAUUACCUGUUGUCACAAGUCUUCUUAAACAAUUUCUCAGAGAGCUGCCAGAGCCCAUACUCACUUCAGAGUUUCUGGCAAGGUUCGAAGAGGCUGGAGCUGUGAAGGAAAUGGCAGUGAGAGAAUCAGAGCUUCAGACUCUUAUAAUGCAGCUGCCAUCAUGCAACAGACAGCUUCUGGCCUGGCUUAUGCUACAUCUUGAGAACAUCACUGUGCAUGAAAAACACAAUAAAAUGAAUGCUCAAAGUAUUGCAAUCACUUUAAGUCCAGCUAUGCAGAUGAGUCAUCGAUUACUUACAGCUUUCCUCUGCCACUGUAACUUCCUCUUCCCAGACGUGAAACUGAACAAAUAUGUACCACCAAUAACUGCAGGGAGUCCUUCCCUCCCAGAUACUCCAACUGGAAUAGCUGAUCAGCUUAGAAAGCAGGAGUCACUUCUUAACCAAAUUCACAAGGAAAUGAAUGCUGGCUUUGUCUCAAAACGUAAGGAAGAACAAUUGUGGGAAGUCCAACGAAUCAUCACCCAACUCAAGAGGAAACUGAGAACAGUGCAACGAGCUCAAGAGAUGAGUCAGAAUCUGAAGAGUUUGGAAGAUGAACAUAGCUGCAAACCCUAUGAUGACGAAUUCUGCAUUGACCUCACUUUACAAAAAGCUUCUUCCUAUUCUGAAGAAGACAAAGCAGUGAGUACAGUCACUGCAACAGAAAUUAAACCAGCAGCUGAUGAUGGAACGCAAGGAGUAGUGAUGCCUCUAGCAUCAGCUGCACCAGCUGUAGAGCAGCAGCAGCAAGAAGUGCAACCGCAACAGCCUUUGCGUGAUACUGUGGAUAGUCCACAGGAUACAGCAGACAAAAUUCCAAAGCAACAGGUCCAACAAGAUCAGUUCCAUGAUCCAUCUACUGCUGGUGACAUUGCCACUGCUUCAGCAAGCAAGGCUGAAGAUUCUAGUGAUGAGGUAGAUGGUAAUGAGGUCUUGGAGCAAGCAUCUGCAACGGAAAUUCCUGCAGGACAUGAGGAUGAGCUGCAAGGACUUUUGCAGGAAGAGAAACUUUUGUUAUUGGAGCAUCAGGAAUUGCUAAGCCUUCAGGCAGAUCUGCAAGGAAGAGUCCAAGAAGAACGGAUUGAGAUAGAGAGGUUGAGAGCAGAGCUGGAGACUGCAAGAUCCAAAUACAAUUAUAGGGGAUUUGAUGAAAACAGUUCAGAAGGCAGCAGUUCACCAUCACACUCAGAUGGUAGUGAUGUGGAUGAUCCAGAGUUGGGCACUCGUAUUGCAGAGCUGCAACAUGAUAAUCAGUUAUUGCAGCAAAAGAAAUCUAAUCUAGUGCGUCGCAUUAUGGAGGAGCGUGAAGCGUGCCUGCACCUUCGUGUCCAGCUCAGCUUGCUCCAUCUCUCACAAGAAUCAAAACAGUUAUGAACUGGCUUCACUUUGCAGAAGUAACAGCAGCUUAAAGAGAACUACAGAUAAGCCAAAGUUCGUUUUGGAACCAAGCAUUUGAAUAGGAGAAAAAUAACAACACUGCAGAAAUGAGUCAGAAUUUGAAUCCAGCCAGACUGGAACAUCACCAUACACAUUCCCUUGAUUUGACAGAAUCACUGGAAAGGACAGAUGUUCAUCGCCAAUACAGACAACAGUUCCUUGAAAAGAGAGCAAAGUUUAAUCAUACGCAGGCACUACCACCUACCCCAAAAGCAGUAAAAGAUUUAUUCUCUGAUGAUGCUACUACAUUAUGUUCUACCACAUCUACUUCAUCCACUUCGUUAGAUGAUGAAAAUGCAUUACCUCAUAAACAUGAGAAGUCACGUUCUGGUACGCCAAUCAGUGAACUUAUUCAAAGAUUCACAUCUGAACUGCUGAAUCAUGAAAUAUCCAGUCUAGAACCUCAGUCCCAGUCAUCUGUGAAACAAUCAUUAGAAUUCAAAUCAAAUGAUAAUACCCAGGUUUCAUGUAAGUUAACAGCAUGCUCACAUUCACAGUCACCUACAAUUUCCUCAUCUGCAUUCAAAGAAAAUACAACCAGAUGUGAUACUGUGAAACAAACAGGUCUUUCUGUACCACUUAAGUCUGUAAAUCUGGUUAAACUAACAGAUACCUCAUUUCAACAUGGUGUUGCACUACGCCGUCCAUCUGACUUCUACAGGCUUGAAAGUCAUGACAUAAAGUCUACUGAACCUUUAUCAGAACAGUCAUUAAUGAAAGAUACAGACACGGCUGCUUCUUUCCAGAUGCUACCAUCAUUAAAUAUAGAUUCAGUAGUUCUUGGAACCAUUGAACACACUCCUGAAGUUGCAAGAACAACUCAUGUGACAACUGCUAUUCCAUUCAGACCACCAAACUGGGUAAAGUUUCCAAAGACAAGUACUGAUGAAACAGAUGCAACACCAUCAAGUUCAAGUGUUAAUGUAACUGAAUCUUCUACAGAGUCUUCCGUUGUGCAACCACAUCUGAUCAGACCACCUUCAUUACAGUCUUAUGUUGCUCGACCAAAUCUGACCAGAGCUUCUUCAAUCCAGUCUAAUCUUAUGACAGAGGGAAGUACAUCCUCUGAAGCUCCUACCUCGUCACUGCUACUUUCAAAAAAUCUUGGAACCAUUGAACACACACCAGAAGUUGCAAGAACAGCUCAUGUCACAACUGCUAUUCCAUUCAGACCACCAAACUGGGUAAAGUUUCCAAAGACAAGUACUGAUGAAACAGAUGCAACACCAUCAAGUUCAAGUGUUAAUGUAACUGAAUCUUCUACAGAGUCUUCUGUUGUGCAACCACAUCUGAUCAGACCACCUUCAUUCCAGUUUUAUGUUGCUCAACCAAAUCUUACCAGAGCUUCUUCAUUCCAGUCUUAUCUUAUGACAGAGGGAAGUACAUCCUCUGAAGCUCCUGCCUCGUCACUGCUACUUUUAAACAAUCAAGAGCUAAGUAUGAGUGACAUGAAGAAAGAACAGAAUUCUUCAUCUGAAAGGAUUAUGAAGCAGUCCAUUCCACCUAACAAAGCACUAAAUAUAAUAUUAUCCUCAUGCAAACCAUCAACUAGUUCAGUAAAUUUGAUUUCCAACAGGAAGAGUCCAAACGCCGAUGAACUUAGUAAUUCACAUUUUCGGAGUAGUGUUAAAUUUGUUCGGCGUUCUAGCACUAGUGCAUUGUCAUCUUUCCCCCGUCGAUCACAAAUGCCAACUAUACCUGUUAAAUUACUUGUGAGAAAGUUCUCAGAAAAUAACUGAUAUGGUAUUUGCAGCUACUUACACAUUUCCAGUAAAAGAUAGCACUAUGUACGCUAUGUUCAUGCAGCAUCUCACAGAUUGCAUUUAGUGCUGCCCUCAGAGAGAUACACUCAUGUUCAUGCAUGGAUUUAUAUAAUAUCAUAAUAUAAUACUUAUGUUGUGAAGGUUUGGAGUUUAUGGAGGAUAUUGUGAUGAUCUUAAUUGUACAUUUGGUAUGUCUGGGAAACAUGAUCCUCACCUGCAGAAAAAGGCUUAGUGAAAUCCAAGAUUAAGUACAGGAAGUUUGUGAAUAUAUCAGAUUCACUGCAGAAAUAAUUGUUGGUUGAGAGCUGAUAGGCGCAAUAAUGUAUAAUAAAUCAUUAAUCAGAGGAGUUUUUUGAUGAUACAUCCAUACACACAUACUGGAUAAGCCAUAUACGUGUUGUGUGUGUUAUAGAUCAUUCAGUUGGAAGAGUUAUUCGAAGCAACAUCUGGUCAUACAUACUAGGGUUGAACCAUUUUCCUGUGGUGUGUGUAAUAAGUUACUCAAUUGGGAGAGUCAACUAAAGAGACAUGAGUGUGUAAAUCACAUACACAAUGCAGAGUUGCCAUAUUCCUGCAUCAGGAUAAUCUUAAGUCAUCUUUGUAUCUGUAAUGUGAAUUAUGUGCAUUUCUAUAGUAUACGUAAUAAAUCUUUCAAGUUUCCAAGUA